CAGCCGCCGCGGGAAUACGAAGGGUGCAAGCGUUACUCGGAAUUACUGGGCGUAAAGCGUGCGUAGGUGGUGGUUUAAGUCCGUUGUGAAAGCCCUGGGCUCAACCUGGGAAUUGCAGUGGAUACUGGGUCACUAGAGUGUGGUAGAGGAUAGUGGAAUUUCCGGUGUAGCAGUGAAAUGCGCAGAGAUCGGAAGGAACAUCUGUGGCGAAGGCGACUAUCUGGGCCAACACUGACACUGAGGCACGAAAGCGUGGGGAGCAAACAGGAUUAGAUACCCGGGUAGUCCCUGUCUCUUAUAC
rnacentral:rRNA from 1 species